AGCUACAGCGGUGGGAUGGCAGAAGCAGCUGUGGGUCAUCGCCUAUGGACUCACACAGGAGGGAGACCUGUAGGCCACAGUUUGAAGAUUGGAAGAACAGAAAUGUGACAGCAGCAGGAGGGGGAUUUGCCACCUUCAAAUUAUGCUUUACAGACACAAUGGCCAAGAUGAGAAACUGAGACGCAGACUGAUCCCAACUCCCAGCUCUCUCAGAUUGUUUGGCUUGGAAAUAACAUUGAGGAUCAAUGGAAGAUCACAUCCAUUUGGAGGUAAGAAGAGAAUAGCAUGCUUGCUCAGAGGAUGGUUUUUCGCUUAGCACCAUUGUGCUCAGGACUGGACUCCAAAA